ACGCGACAACUUUCAGCCGCAGAUUACCAGUGAAAACAACAGAGGGAAAGCUACAGAUCUGGCAACACUAACUGCUACAUUCGCAAAGCUAAACCGGUAACCUACAUCCGCAGAUCAGCAGUGAAAAUAUGUGAGGGAAAGGUGGUAAUACGUGUUGUUUGGAUCUGACAAAAUGACUGGGAUUAAAUGGCAAUUCUCAAAGCUAAACCCGACAACCUUCAGCCACAGAAUAACAGUGGAAAUAUCUGAGGGGAAGGCAUGAAGUUGAAGAUGUUCGGCAUCCCUGGGCAGUAGCACAGAAGGUUACCGAUACACAGCUGGAAGAUUAUGGCAGCCACAAGGACCUUGUUUCUACAUGAAAGGAGGGACAUUUAUUAUAUAAACUCUGUCAACAGUGUUUGUAAAGGUCUAGAUAAAAGUAAUCCAUGUUUAGGAUUUACAUUUUAAAAUGAAUUUAAAUGUGUUGUGUGAUGGCAGAAUAAGAUGUAGUAAGGACCAGUACUAGGUUGUUGGCAUGUGAGAAUAACUAACCUCAAAAUGCCCUGCCUAAAGACAGACAAACGGCGAGUUUUCCUGAUUAAGACGUCAGCAAUCUGGCAGAUCUCAAUACUGACAAAGAACACAGUGUAACAGGUGUACUCCUGAUACCGCCGCUGCUCAUACGUCUACCAAAUAAAAGAAGUGACACAAUGCCUUUACAUUAGCUGUCCUGUAGGUCCUGUAUUCUAACAUUUUCCCACUGAGCACGGAGGCCCACACAAAG